GGUCCCUUGUGAAAAAAAAAGAUUGGGGAUCUGACCUGCCCGGUGACUACUACGGUGGUUAAACGGCCGCGGUAUACUGACUGUGCGAAGGUAGCAUAAUAAUUUGCCUAUUAAUUGUGGGCUAGAAUGAAUGGUUUGACGAGGAUUUGGCUGUCUUUUUAAAAAAUAUUAAGAAAUUAUUUUUCAAGUGAAAAUUCUUGAAUGUAGCCGAGGGACGAUAAGACCCUGUCGAGCUUUAGUAAUGCUUAAAGUUUUUAUUAGAGUGUUUUGAGUAAGAUGCUUUGAGUGAAUCUUUGGUUGGGGCGACUUGGAAGUAAGGAAAACCUUCUGUUUUAAGUUUUUACUGAUAGGUGUAAGAUGAAACGUAAUAGUAUGUAGGUUGAAGAAAAAGCUACCGCAGGGAUAACAGCGUUAUCUUUUUGGAGAGUUCUUAUUGAAAGAAAGGUUUGCGACCUCGAUGUUGAAUUAAGAUAUCCUAGAGGUGUAGCAGCUUUAGAGGGUUGGUCUGUUCGACCAUUAAAAUCUU
rnacentral:rRNA from 1 species